CUCUGUACCGGUACCCCCCUGUAUAUAGCCUCCACAUUGACUCUGUACCGGUACCCCCUGUAUAUAGCCUCCACAUUGACUCUGUACCGGUACCCCCUGUAUAUAGCCUCCACAUUGACUCUGUACUGGUACCCCCUGUAUAUAGCCUCCACAUUGACUCUGUACCGGUACCCCCUGUAUAUAGCCACCACAUUGACUCUGUACCGGUACCCCCUGUAUAUAGCCUCCACAUUGACUCUGUACCGUAAUACCCUGUAUAUAGCCUCCACAUUGACUCUGUACCGUAAUACCCUGUAUAUAGCCUCCACAUUGACUCUGUACCGGUACCCCCUGUAUAUAGCCUCCACAUUGAUUCUGUACUGGUACCCCCUGUAUAUAGCCUCCACAUUGACCCUGUACCGGUACCCCCUGUAUAUAGCCUCCACAUUGACUCUGUACCGGUACCCCCUGUAUACAGCCUCCACAUUGACUCUGUACCGGUACCCCCUGUAUACAGCCUCCACAUUGACUCUGUACCGGUACCCCCUGUAUAUAGCCUCCACAUUGACUCUGUACCGGUACCCCCUGUAUAUAGCCUCCACAUUGACUCUGUACCGGUACCCCCUGUAUAUAGCCUCCACAUUGACUCUGUACCGGUACCCCCUGUAUAUAGCCUCCACAUUGACUCUGUACCGGUACCCCCUGUAUAUAGCCUCCACAUUGACUCUGUACCGGUACCCCCUGUAUAUAGCCUCCACAUUGACUCUGUACCGGUACCCCCUGUAUAUAGCCUCCACAUUGACUCUGUACCGGUACCCCCUGUAUAUAGCCUCCACAUUGACUCUGUACCGGUACCCCCUGUAUAUAGCCUCCACAUUGACUCUGUACCGGUACCCCCUGUAUAUAGCCUCCACAUUGACUCUGUACCGGUACCCCCUGUAUAUAGCCUCCACAUUGACUCUGUACCGGUACCCCCUGUAUAUAGCCUCCACAUUGACUCUGUACCGGUACCCCCUGUAUAUAGCCUCCACAUUGACUCUGUACCGGUACCCCCUGUAUAUAGCCUCCACAUUGACUCUGUACCGGUACCCCCCUGUAUAUAGCCUCCACAUUGACUCUGUACCGGUACCCCCUGUAUAUAGCCUCCACAUUGACUCUGUACCGGUACCCCCUGUAUAUAGCCUCCACAUUGACUCUGUACCGGUACCCCCGGUACCCCCUGUACAUAGCCUUGUUAUUCUUAUUGUGUUACUUUUUAUUAAUAUUUUUUACUUUAGUCUUUAG
rnacentral:lncRNA from 8 species